AAGCAGCUAGCCCCAUCACACAAAAUAAAACAAUCAUCAUAAAUACCCCCAAACACACGAACUAGAAAACCAACUAAACCAUUCUACCCCCUUAGUACGGGAGACGGAAAAGGAACCUGGAGCUAUAGAAAAAGUACCGCAAGGGAACGCUGAAAGAGAAAUGAAACAACCCAGUAAAGUUAAAAAAAGCAGAGACUAAAACUCGUACCUUUUGCAUCAUGAUUUAGCCAGAAAACUCCAAGCAAAGAGCACUAUAGUUUGACACCCCGAAACUAAGUGAGCUACUCCAAGACAGCCUAUUUUAGGGCCAACCCGUCUCUGUGGCAAAAGAGUGGGAAGAGCUUAGAGUAGAGGUGACAGACCUACCGAACUUAGUUAUAGCUGGUUGCCUAGAAAAUGAAUAUAAGUUCAGCCUCCCGGCUUCUCCACUCGCCCGUACUUAACCCCUUCGACACCCAAGAAACCGAGAGAGUUAGUCAAAGGGGGUACAGCCCCUUUGAAACAAGACACAACUUUAUGAGGUGAGUAAAGAUCAUAAUGCCCUAAGGAUACAUGUUUUAGUGGGCCUAAAAGCAGCCACCUGAACAGAAAGCGUUAAAGCUCAAACAUACCAACCUCCCUUUAAUCCUGAUAACCCAAUCUUAUCCCCCUCGCACCAACUAGGCUUUUCCAUGCUAACAUGGAAGCACUUAUGCUAAUAUGAGUAAUAAGAGAGAUACACCUCUCUCCUCGCACGCACAUACAUCGGAACGGACAAUCCACCGAACAUUAACCGGCCCCAAACAAAGAGGGUAAUGAGCAACUAACAAAUAACCAGAAGACCGCCCAAAAAUAACCGUUAAGCCCACACUGGCGUGCCCACAAGGAAAGACCAAAAGAAAAAGAAGGAACUCGGCAAACACCCUAGGCCUCGCCUGUUUACCAAAAACAUCGCCUCUUGUAAGCUAAAAAUAAGAGGUCCCGCCUGCCCAGUGACAACAAGUUAAACGGCCGCGGUAUUUUGACCGUGCAAAGGUAGCGCAAUCACUUGUCUUUUAAAUGAAGACCCGUAUGAAUGGCACAACGAGGGCCUAACUGUCUCCUUUUUCAAGUCAAUGAAAUUGAUCUCCCCGUGCAGAAGCGGGGAUAAGCCCAUAAGACGAGAAGACCCUAUGGAGCUUUAGACACCAAAACAGACUUUGUUAAACACCCCUAGAUACAGGGCAUAACCAAAAGGACCCUGCUCUGAUGUCUUUGGUUGGGGCGACCGCGGGGAAUGCAAAUCCCCCAUGUGGACUGGGAGAACCUCUCCUACAGCCAAGAGCUACAGCUCUAAGCAAUAGAACUUCUAACCUAAAGAUCCGGCAAAGCCGAUCAACGAACCGAGUUACCCUAGGGAUAACAGCGCAAUCCCCUUCUAGAGCCCAUAUCGACAAGGGGGUUUACGACCUCGAUGUUGGAUCAGGACAUCCUAAUGGUGCAGCCGCUAUUAAGGGUUCGUUUGUUCAACGAUUAAAGUCCUACGUGAUCUGAGUUCAGACCGGAGUAAUCCAGGUCAGUUUCUAUCUAUGAAAUGUUUUUUUCUAGUACGAAAGGACCGAAAAAAAGAGGCCCAUGCUCAAAGCACGCCUCACCCCUACCUAAUGAAAACAACUAAAUUGGGCAAAGGGACAUACC
rnacentral:rRNA from 1 species